rnacentral:rRNA from 1 species
GCCUACGGGGCGCAGCAGUCGGGAAUAUUGCGCAAUGGAGGAAACUCUGACGCAGUGACGCCGCGUAUAGGAAGAAGUUUUUCGGAAUGUAAACUAUUGUCGUUAGGGAAGAGAAAGGACAGUACCUAAGGAGGAAGCCCCGGCUAACUACGUGCCAGCAGCCGCGGUAAUACGUAGGGGGCAAGCGUUAUCCGGAUUCACUGGGUGUAAAGGGAGCGUAGACGGCCAUGCAAGCCUGGAGUGAAAGCCCGGGGCCCAACCCCGGGACUGCUCUGGGAACUGUGCGGCUGGAGUGCGGGAGGGGC